rnacentral:rRNA from 1 species
GUGGGGAAUCUUCCGCAAUGGACGAAAGUCUGACGGAGCAACGCCGCGUGAACGAUGACGGCCUUCGGGUUGUAAAGUUCUGUUAUACGGGACGAAUGGCGUAGCGGUCAAUACCCGUUACGAGUGACGGUACCGUAAGAGAAAGCCACGGCUAACUACGUGCCAGCAGCCGCGGUAAUACGUAGGUGGCAAGCGUUGUCCGGAAUUAUUGGGCGUAAAGGGCGCGCAGGCGGCGUCGUAAGUCGGUCUUAAAAGUGCGGGGCUUAACCCCGUGAGGGGACCGAAACUGCGAUGCUAGAGUAUCGGAGAGGAAAGCGGAAUUCCUAGUGUAGCGGUGAAAUGCGUAGAUAUUAGGAGGAACACCAGUGGCGAAAGCGGCUUUCUGGACGACAACUGACGCUGAGGCGCGAAAGCCAGGGGAGCAAACGGGAUUAGAAACCCUGGUAGUCC